rnacentral:ncRNA from 1 species
UGGGGUCCGGGCCCCUCUGGCGAGCCGCCGCUCGCGAUGUCGGACUUCUU